GACGUCUUUGACGUGUCAAACUUCAGAAUUGGAUUCAGAUGAUCAGGAGGAUAUAGGCAGGGUGAAAAGAGCACCUAAACCAAUCCACUACUAUGGCGACACUAACUAUGAAAGUGAACAUGAAGACUUGGCUAAUAAAACAAAAGUUCCCUUGACAAGAUUUUCAAAACCUCAACAGUCAACUGGACCUUGCAUGUUCUCCCCACAUUCUGCACCUCAGGUACCAUCACCACCUUUACCAUCUGUGCCACCUUGUCGCUCACCACCACAUUCUUUGCUUCAGGUGCCACCUCCUUACCAGUCACUAUUGCUCUCUGAAAAUACAUCAACAAAUUUCCACGAGCCUUCCAAAAAUGAAAAAUACUUCUGAACUCUUCAAGCCUACUUACAGAGUGGGUCAAUGUGGAACAGAACCAAUACCUUGUACUGCUGCAGAUCUUCAUAUCCUCACAUUGCUCGAACAUGUGAAGCACCAGCU